rnacentral:rRNA from 1 species
AACGAACGCUGGCGGCAUGCCUAACACAUGCAAGUCGAACGAGACCUUCGGGUCUAGUGGCGCACGGGUGCGUAACGCGUGGGAACCUGCCUUUAGGUUCGGAAUAACUCAGAGAAAUUUGAGCUAAUACCGGAUGAUGUCUUCGGACCAAAGAUUUAUCGCCUUUAGAUGGGCCCGCGUUGGAUUAGCUAGUUGGUGGGGUAAAGGCCUACCAAGGCGACGAUCCAUAGCUGGUCUGAGAGGAUGAUCAGCCACACUGGGACUGAGACACGGCCCAGACUCCUACGGGAGGCAGCAGUGGGGAAUAUUGGACAAUGGGCGAAAGCAUGAUCCAGCAAUGCCGCGUGAGUGAUGAAGGCCUUAGGGUUGUAAAGCUCUUUUACCCGAGAUGAUAAUGACAGUAGCGGGAGAAUAAGCUCCGGCUAACUCCGUG